rnacentral:rRNA from 1 species
UGGGGAAUAUUGGACAAUGGGCGCAAGCCUGAUCCAGCCAUGCCGCGUGAGUGAUGAAGGCCCUAGGGUUGUAAAGCUCUUUCACCGGUGAAGAUAAUGACGGUAACCGGAGAAGAAGCCCCGGCUAACUUCGUGCCAGCAGCCGCGGUAAUACGAAGGGGGCUAGCGUUGUUCGGAUUUACUGGGCGUAAAGCGCACGUAGGCGGACUUUUAAGUCAGGGGUGAAAUCCCGGGGCUCAACCCCGGAACUGCCUUUGAUACUGGAAGUCUUGAGUAUGGUAGAGGUGAGUGGAAUUCCGAGUGUAGAGGUGAAAUUCGUAGAUAUUCGGAGGAAAACCAGUGGCGAAGGCGACUCACUGGACCAAUACUGACGCUGAGGUGCGAAAGCGUGGGGAGCAAACAGU